rnacentral:rRNA from 1 species
UACGAAGGGGGCUAGCGUUGCUCGGAAUCACUGGGCGUAAAGGGCGCGUAGGCGGCCAUUCAAGUCGGGGGUGAAAGCCCAGGGCUCAACCCUGGAAUUGCCUUCGAUACUGUUUGGCUAGAGACCGGAAGAGGUUAGUGGAACUGCGAGUGUAGAGGUGAAAUUCGUAGAUAUUCGCAAGAACACCAGUGGCGAAGGCGGCCCCCUGGUUGGAUACUGACGCUGAGACGCGAAAGCGUGGGGAGCAAACAGG